GAGGCGAACCGGGAGAACUGAAACAUCUAAGUACCCCGAGGAAAAGAAAUCAACCGAGAUUCCCUCAGUAGCGGCGAGCGAACGGGGAUUAGCCCUUAAGCAUCUUGGAAGUUAGUGGAACGGUCCUGGAAAGGCCGGCGAUACAGGGUGAUAGCCCCGUACACGAAAACAACCUUGAUGUGAAAUCGAGUAGGGCGGGACACGUGACAUCCUGUCUGAAUAUGGGGGGACCAUCCUCCAAGGCUAAAUACUCCUGACUGACCGAUAGUGAACCAGUACCGUGAGGGAAAGGCGAAAAGAACCCCUGUGAGGGGAGUGAAAUAGAACCUGAAACCGUGUACGUACAAGCAGUGGGAGCCCUUC
rnacentral:rRNA from 1 species